rnacentral:lncRNA from 1 species
GUUUUCAUUGAUCAACCAAAGGAACCAAUCCUCACUAGAAAAAGUGUUUUCACUCAAGCACACUAGUGUAUAAGGGUGUGUCAUUCUCUCAUCUACCUCUAACAGCACAAAAUUUGACUUUGCUUUUCAUUUCAAGAGCCAAGAAUUAUCAAAGCAUACAAACACAACAAGGGCUUUAUUUGAUGGUCUGACAAGGCAAAGAAGGAAAUUGGUGUAUCAAGGUAAUGUGAAGGAGCAAAGAGAGCAAUCACAUCAUUUUUACAGUUUUAUCAUUAUACUCUCUUUUGUCAGAAAACUAGAACAACCAAACACCCACUUGUAGUCACCUUAUUCAUAUAUUUUCUUUUUCUUUUUCUUUUUCUAUUUUCUCUUUCUUUUUCUUUUAUAAAUGACAUAUAUACAAGAAUGCAUCACAUCAACCAACACCAAUUCACCAUUGUUACUCAUGCUCCCUUUUUAAUAAUAACUUCCCCCACACUUGAAUCAUACNANNGACCAUGGAAACCUUACUCUCCCAUCAAGGUGAGAUUGUCAAUCAUAUUCAACAAGGCUUAAGGUUUCAAAAGUGAAGGUAAGUUUCUUUAAAUGCUGAAAAGUUUGCACAAGGGUUCUAAUCUUUGAAACACAAUUGGCUAAUCUGGGUAUAUGAUGCAAAGAGGGAAAGAAAGAGGGCCUUGUUUCAAUGUAAGCAUGCAAAUGAAUAAUAACUAGCAAUGAAACUCAAGCAAAGUUAAUUGUAACCAAAAGAUGUAGCACUCAUAGAUAAAAACUCUG